CUUUCUCUGACUGCAGUCAUUAGGAUGGAGGAGUGAGGGCUGAAGUAAGAAAGUGGCAGAGAACUCAAUAAGAAAGAAGACUCUGUCCACCUACUGCUGUGACAUCACAAGUUGGAGACAAGUUGGCUGGUUGGAUGGUCUGAUGAGCAAUACAAAAGCUCCAAUAAUCAGAGAGUAUCACGCCUUGAACAGCCCUGGAAGGACAGUACCAGUUUGAUCGGAAUAUACCAUUGUUCCAUUAUCAGCACAUUUAUUACCUCCGCUUGUGAUAACCCCACAAAUGCAAGAGUGACAUGCAGCCACAAGGACAUGGAGCAUAUAUCCACCCCCAACACAAACAAAGCCCCACCCCUAGACUGUGAUUGGCUCAUGGGCUAGCCACUGAAAGUACAGGGAUGACCA